rnacentral:tRNA from 1 species
AGUAAGGUCAGCUAAUCAAGCUAUCGGGCCCAUACCCCGAAAAUGUAGGCUCACAGCCUUCCCGUACUA